rnacentral:rRNA from 1 species
GGUAAUUUGACUAUACGAAGGUAUUGAAAUAAGGUUUUAAUUGAAUGCUAAGAGAAUGGUUGAACAGGGAUUAGCUUUCUUUUUUUUUAAAAUGGAAUUUAAUUUGUAAGUGAAAAAGCUUAUAUGAGUUUUUGGGACAAGAAGACCCUAUGAAUUUUUUUUAAAAAUUUAUUUGCUGUUGUUAAAGGAAAAUGAAGUUUAUUUUUAAGUUGAUUGGGGUGAUUUUUAAAAGUUUUUUAACUUUAAAAAGGAAGGAAUUGGAACCAUAAAUUGUGGUUUUUUGAUUAAAAUACUCUAGGGAUAACAGCGUUAUUAUUUUGGAUAGUUCAUAUAGAUAAAAUAGUUUGCGACCUCGAUGUUGGAUUAAGAUUCUUUUAUAGUGAAGAAGUUAU